UACCAGCCCUCCGAGUGGUAGGGAUGAUUAUUGGGCUUAAAGCGUCCGUAGCCGGCUUAGCAAGUUUCCUGUUAAAUUCAGCGACCUAAUCGUUGAGCCGCGGGAAAUACUACUAGGCUAGGAGGCGGGAGAGGUCGACGGUACUUCUGGGGUAGGGGUGAAAUCCUAUAAUCCCGGGAGGACCACCAGUGGCGAAGGCUGUCGACUAGAACGCGCUCGACGGUGAGGGACGAAAGCUGGGGGAGCGAACCGGAUUAGAUACCCGGGUAGUCCCAGCUGUAAACGAUGCGGGCUAGGUGUUGGGGUGGCUACGUGCCACUUCAGUGCCGCAGGGAAGCCAUUAAGCCCGCCGCCUGGGGAGUACGGCCGCAAGGCUGAAACUUAAAGGAAUUGGCGGGGGAGCACCACAAGGCGUGAAGCUUGCGGUUC
rnacentral:rRNA from 1 species